GAACAUAUGGCUUUUGACUUGUACCGUGUCGCAGCAGCUUUGUAUAUCAAGAUGGAAAAAUAUUCAGAUGUUGCUGCUUUGUUUUUAAGACUUGGUUCAGCUGCUGAUAAGUGCAAUGCCAUCAAUAGCCAAUGCAAGGCCUAUCUGAGUGCGAUCAUCAUCUAUCUUUACGCACAUGAUUUUCAGCAAGCUCAAAAAUGCUACAAUGACUGCUCAGAGGUUCAAGCCUUCCUCAAUAGCGGACAGAAUCGAUGCACAACAAAGCUAUUGUCUGCUUAUGAGGAAGGUGAUGCUGAAGAAAUCAAACGCAUUGCUCAAUCAAGUGCCUUCAAUCAUCUUGACCAUGUGGUAAUUAGGCUUUCAUGGAAGCUACCAACAGGUGAUCUGUAGGCCAUCAAGAAAGCUGACGAUGGCGAGGAAUCCUUGGACGAGGAUGAUGUGACUUAAAACGAUCUCCCGAGCCAAAAGGUGCAUAGAGCAAACGUCAUAGUUUGCCAUCGGUGGGGGAACAGCUGUAAAAAGAAGUUAUGCGAGUUACAUACUAAAAACUUGUGGGCAGCAUUCCCAGAUCUAUAAACAUGAAAUUUGUAGGGCCCAAUUAUGUUGUAUCCGUACGGGUGGUUUGGUGUUACCGAAACUUUAGUGGUAUGUUUAUGGUGCCAUGUGCU